rnacentral:rRNA from 1 species
GACGAACGCUGGCGGCGUGCUUAACACAUGCAAGUCGAACGAUGAACUUGGAGCUUGCUCUGGGGGAUUAGUGGCGAACGGGUGUGUAACACGUGAGUAACCUGCCCUGGACUCUGGGAUAACUUCGAGAAAUCGGAGCUAAUACCGGAUAGGACCUUGCACCGCAUGGGGUGGGGUGGAAAGUUUUUCGGUUUGGGAUGGACUCGCGGCCUAUCAGCUUGUUGGUGAGGUAAUGGCUCACCAAGGCGUCGACGGGUAGCCGGCCCGAGAGGGUGACCGGCCACACUGGGACUGAGACACGGCCCAGACUCCGACGGGAGGCAGCAGUGGGGAAUAUUGCACAAUGGGCGCAAGCCUGAUGCAGCAACGCCGCGUGCGGGAUGACGGCCUUCGGGUUGUAAACCGCUUUUAGUAGGGAAGAAGCCUUCGGGUGACGGUACCUGCAGAAAAAGGACCGGCUAACUACGUGCCAGCAGCCGCCGUAACAC